AGCACCGCCCGGGCCAAAGCGGCGUCGGGGGCUGCGGGCGGGGCGGGGAACGGGAGCGCGGCGAGGAGCAGAGGAGGAGGAGGAGGAAAGGUAAAAGAGGGCCGGGAGGGGGGGAAGCUCGGCUCCUCGGAGGGGUCCGCUGUCGGCGCGAACGCAGGUCGCUGCUCUACACGCGGGCACGGCGCGAGCUACGGGCACGCACCGAAGCUGAGCUUCGCCCUGACGGUGUGACCCUUCUGCUACGCGGAGAUUUGCCGGGUUUGCUUUGCAACUCGUUUUCCAUCCACGGUGCUGUUUCACCGGGGGAAGCGCGCGGUCGCAGAAAUAAACCGCUCUGGUGACAAAGCUGAAAGGUGCUUUCGGACUCAUUCGCGUUUGCACGGGCUUUCUCUUUGGGGGUGAAUGCGAGCCGUCGUUUCAGUCUGAACAGGUUGAACUGCAUAGGCAUAUACGAUAAUUUUGAUGCCAUCAAAAGGAAGCAGCUGUAAAAAGAGAUGCUGUAUUCCAUGGAAAUAAAACUGGGAGCAGUGCAAUUUCUCCUUGAGCUUUUCUGAACGUCAGCUGAAGGCUUAAGAGGUGAUGUCUGAGGAACAACCAUAAGUUGCCAAGCUGGAGCUUCCUCUAGUUCAUGUGGCCCUCAUUUACACCCAAAGAGCGAGAGGAGACCAAGGGCCGUUAAUUUUAAGACAUCUAUAAUAAAAAAAGUUAUCUCUUGUCGGCAGUGGCAGGGAAAAAAAGAUAAAAGGUGCUGUGUGGUGCGAUUGCUGGCAGAUGGCACUGUUGGGAGCCCAGAUCUUCGCGGCGCGCAGCAGCAUGGCAGGGAGGGGAUGGGGCUGCUUCCACAAUUAACCUGAACCACAGAUCUGUUUACAGCAAUCUAAUCCAUAUGUGCUAAUAUCUUGCUGCUACACGAGUGAAACUCUCUCUUGGAUUGUUCUCAGAAUGUACUUUCUGCACAUCUGGCUUCAUAUGAACAGGGCAUUUGCUUCUACUGUUCCUGCAAGGAAUACAGCAUACCUUAUUCCAUCUGGAAGCAAAACAAAAGACAGCAUUACAGUGAAAUCCUCAGUAUUGUUAUUUUCCAGAUACAAAGCUCAAGUAAUUUAAGAAUCCUUCCCUUCCCUUCCCUUCCCUUCCCUUCCCUUCCCUUCCCUUCCCUUCCCUUCCCUUCCCUUCCCUUCCCUUCCCUUCCCUUCCCUUCCCUUCCCUUCCCUUCCCUUCCCUUCCCUUCCCUUCCCUUCCCUUCCCUUUCCCCUUUCCUUUCCUUUUUUUCUUCCUUUUUUUUUCUUUUUUUUUUCUUUUUAAAUAAAAUUGUCUGUGCAACUUCUUGGCUUCUGAUUUACUUGAAAGUACAACCAUUUCAUGCAAUAUCCAAUCUAUUCAACUGACUAUCACACAUAUAGGACAAUGAAAUUACAGUCAUAAACAACUUCUUUUC
rnacentral:lncRNA from 1 species